UACGUAGGGUGCGAGCGUUAAUCGGAUUUACUGGGCGUAAAGCGAGCGCAGGUGGUUUAAUAAGUCUGAUGUAAAAGGCAGUGGCUCAACCAUUGUGUGCAUUGGAAACUGUUAGACUUGAGUGCAGUAGAGGAGAGUGGAAUUCCAUGUGUAGCGGUGAAAUGCGUAGAUAUCGGGAGGAAUACCGGUGGCGAAGGCGCCCCUCUGGACGGUAACUGACGCUGAGGCGCGAAAGCGUGGGUAGCAAACAGG
rnacentral:rRNA from 1 species